rnacentral:tRNA from 1 species
UUGCCCUGUAGUGUAAUGGUAACACAGCGCCCUUUGGAGGCGUUAUUCAUGGUUCGAGUCCAUGUGGGGCAGA